AAUAUUGCACAAUGGGGGAAACCCUGAUGCAGCGACCCCGCGUGAGGGAAGAAGUAUUUCGGAAUGUACAGCUCUAUCAGCAGGGAAGAAAAUGACGGUACCUGACUAAGAAUCCCCGGCUAACUACUUGCCAGCAGCCGCGGUAAUACGUAGGGGCAAGCGUUAUCCGGAUUUACUGGGUGUAAAGGGAGCGUAGGUGGCAAAUCAAGUCAGAUGUGAAAGCCCGGGGCUCAACUCCGGGAUUGCAUUUGAAACUGGUAUGCUAGAGUGCAGGAGAGGUAAGUGGAAUUCCUAGUGUAGCGGUGAAAUGCGUAGAUAUUAGGAGGAACACCAGUGGCGAAGGCGGCUUACUGGACUGUAACUGACACUGAGGCUCGAAAGCGUGGGGAGCAAAC
rnacentral:rRNA from 1 species